AUUAUUUGUAAUUUUUUGUAUACUAUUUCUAACAAUUGAAGUGAAUUAAUAUGCCUUCAUUGUUGUGAAUAGAGAUUCCAUAAUUUUUGAUAAACUGCAGUGGAAAUGAUGCUUCAGUUUGAUGCUUUUCUAUAGGAUCCAUUACCAUUCAAUAGCUAGGAUUUAACUCAAGGGGUUCAAUCAUGAUGGGAAAAGGUCGUAAUGAUCAACAACGCUCAAUUGAAUAGGUCAUAAUUAAUGAAAACAGUAAGUAACUUCCUAAGACCAUCUCCAACGCUUAAUCAAAUUCAUCAUCAGAUUUGAAUUUGGUGUGAAAAAAUAUCACUUUUAUGGCUCCAACGGUUUCAUUAAACGGACAUCGAAUUGAGAAUAUACCAAAAGUUUCACCAAAAUGAGAAGCGAAGCAGAUUUCACCAAAACACUGUGCGUUUAUGUUGGAAGUGGGUCCCACCGGACUACCGACUGGACGUCCUCCCGGAUGACCACCUUAAGCAAAAUUUUGUGAAAAGGGGGGUCAAGCUAAAUUUCUCCAUUGGAGCAGGUGUUAUCAAAUAGAGGAAAUCGUUUUUUUUUUUUACUCAGAUUUGAUGAAAAAUCUAAUGAACCAUUGGAGAUGCUCUAAAGUACUCUCAAAUAAAAUCGUUUCUACAGUUUUUCAUUAGUUUCAAAUUAGGGAGAUGCUAUGUAAAAAGGUGCAUAUGGUAUGUCUUUCUUAACACUACUACAAAAUUUUGUAACAUAAAUCAUAAAAUGACACAACUUUUCUCACCACAAAAUUAUAACUUUCAUUUUAGAGUGCACACCAUAAAUUCACUAUGCGUAACUUUUACCACAAAUUAACAUAGCAUAACUUUAAAAAAAAAAUCCUAACUUUCUUACGAUAUGCCUUUUUUAGUAGUACACUUUAUAGGAUUUCCUUUCAGGUUAUUAUUAUUAAUUUUUUUGAAAAUGAUUGUUUAAAAGGUUGGUGGUUGAUUAAGAUGAAAAAGUGCUUCCAAAGGAAGAGAGUGGUAAGGCUUCGAAAGGGUUUUUUUCAUUGGUUGCUUUGUCUGUUUGAUGAUUAAUUUGUUUUAGGUAGAACAUUGCAAGGUAUCUUGCCUUUCCAUCUUGCUGGAGUGGCAAGCGUGUUGGUUGAUUUGCUAUGAAGACUUUCCUUUCAUAUUUUUUAGUGAAUCUGGUUGUAUUGAUUAUAUUUUUCAUCAUUUUUUUUAGUUUGAAAUUUGAAAAAAAAGAAAAAAAAUUGGAUUUUAGAUUUUUGUUUUUAUCUUUAUAUUUUGAGUUGUGAUUCACUUAUUUUGAAGAUGCUUCAAUCCGCAGAGUAUGAACAUCUACGUUGAUGAUGAUGAUGAUGAAUUGUGAGUCUGUUAAGGUCAUCUAUAUUAAAAUGAUUAGCUCUGUGUGUCCAUGAAAGCACCAUGUUUUUUAUUCAUGUUGCAGUGAUUUAGUACCAAAACUAGCCUCGAUUGUAGGUUUUUUUAUUUUUAUUUUUAUUUUUUUUUAUUUGGAUUCUGUUAAGUGAAAGCUCUUAGGGAUCUGAUUCUAACUUAUUAUUGAUCUUGUUUUAAUUUGCACUCUCAUUCUGAUAAUGGUGCAGGGAUUUUGUUAAAGGAGCCAGGUGCUAAUUUUUUAGAUUAGUCAGAUCCUCGAUGGAGUUUUAAAGACUGUAUAAUCUUGGACCAGGAAGAAUUUCUUGUUGAAUCCCAAAUUUUUUGAAGUAUUUGCAUUUGCAGUUGCAGGAGCUUGGUGUUUGUUGUUUGUUUUUCAUACAAGGCAAGAGUAAAAGUUUAAUUCAGCAUCAUUACAUCCCAAAAGGUUAAGAAGAGAGAGAAUAUAAUUUAAGAAAAGCAAAGGUUGCUGUCCUGAUACACACAGUGAAAAGAAACUAAUUGCCCUAACAUAUCUACAAGAAAGCUUAGAAGCAUUUUCGGGAACAAAGCUGUACAAGCAACUAAAGUCCAAUGCUGACGAAGCUCGGAUCAGUUUUACUUCCAGCAGCUGAGAAACUACAUUUAACAACAUAAUUCCAUACCUGGAAGUUUUACUUGUCUUGCUGUGGAAUACCAUAAAGUUGCACACAAAUUUUCAUGUAAAGCUGAAUUCUGAGUUGGCUCGUUUAUAUGGCUGUUUAGGUUUCCAGAGCUUGUUAAUACAAUGGCUAUUUGAUGUCUACACUGUAAUGUGGUGGUUGAGCAAGCCUAUAUUUGAAA